rnacentral:rRNA from 1 species
AUACGAAGGUCCCAAGCGUUAUUCGGAAUCACUGGGCGUAAGGAGUACGUAGGCGGUUUGGUAAGUCAGGUGUGAAAUCCCGGAGCUCAACUCCGGAACUGCAUCCGAUACUGCCAGACUUGAGUAAUGGAGAGGCAGGUGGAAUUCUCGGUGUAGCAGUGAAAUGCGUGGAUAUCGAGAGGAAGACCAAUGGCGAAGGCAGCCUGCUGGACAUUUACUGACGCUGAGGUACGAAGGCUAGGGGAGCGAAAGGGAUUAGAAACCCGAGUAGUCC